rnacentral:rRNA from 1 species
AGCUGCAGGAAGAGAAAGCAAAAGCGAUUGCCUUAGUAGCGGCGAGCGAAACGGCAGGAGGGCAAACCGAAGAGUUUACUCUUCGGGGUUGUAGGACUGCAAUGUGGACUCAAAGAUUAUAGAAGAAUGAUUUGGGAAGAUCAGCCAAAGAGAGUAAUAGCCUCGUAUUUAAAAUAGUCUUUGUACCUAGCAGUAUCCUGAGUACGGCGGGACACGUGAAAUCCCGUCGGAAUCUGGGAGGACCAUCUCCCAACCCUAAAUACUCCCUAGUGACCGAUAGUGAACCAGUACCGUGAGGGAAAGGUGAAAAGCACCCCGGGAGGGGAGUGAAAUAGAACCUGAAACCGUGUGCCUACAACAAGUUCGAGCCCGUUAAUGGGUGAGAGCGUGCCUUUUGUAGAAUGAACCGGCGAGUUACGUUAUGAUGCGAGGUUAAGUUGAAGAGACGGAGCCGUAGGGAAACCGAGUCUGAAUAGGGCGCCUUAGUAUCAUGACGUAGACCCGAAACCAUGUGACCUACCCAUGAGCAGGUUGAAGGUGCGGUAAGACGCACUGGAGGACCGAACCAGGGCACGUUGAAAAGUGCUUGGAUGACUUGUGGGUAGCGGAGAAAUUCCAAACGAACUUGGAGAUAGCUGGUUCUCUCCGAAAUAGCUUUAGGGCUAGCGUCGACAUUAGAGAUUCUUGGAGGUAGAGCACUGUUUGGGUGAGGGGUCCAUCCCGGAUUACCAAUCUCAGAUAAACUCCGAAUGCCAAUGAAUUAUGGUCGGCAGUCAGACUGCGAGUGCUAAGAUCCGUAGUCGAAAGGGAAACAGCCCAGACCACCAGCUAAGGUCCCAAAAUAAUUGUUAAGUGGAAAAGGAUGUGGGGUUGCACAGACAACUAGGAUGUUAGCUUAGAAGCAGCUAUUCAUUCAAAGAGUGCGUAAUAGCUCACUAGUCGAGUGACCCUGCGCCGAAAAUGUACCGGGGCUAAAACAAUUUACCGAAGCUGUGGAUACCUUUAUAGGUAUGGUAGGAGAGCGUUCUAUGUGUGAUGAAGGUAUACCGUGAGGAGUGCUGGAACGCAUAGAAGUGAGAAUGCCGGUAUGAGUAGCGAAAGACAGGUGAGAAUCCUGUCCACCGUAAGACUAAGGUUUCCAGGGGAAGGCUCGUCCGCCCUGGGUUAGUCGGGACCUAAGGAGAGACCGAAAGGUGUAUCCGAUGGACAACAGGUUGAUAUUCCUGUACUAGAGUAUGUAGUGAUGGAGGGACGCAGUAGGCUAACUAAAGCAGACGAUUGGAAGAGUCUGUCUAAGCAGUGAGGUGUGAAUUGAGUCAAAUGCUUAAUUCUAUAACAUUGAGCUGUGAUGGGGAGCGAAGUUUAGUAGCGAAGUUAGUGACGUCACACUGCCAAGAAAAGCUUCUAGCGUUUAAACAUACUCUACCCGUACCGCAAACCGACACAGGUAGUCGAGGCGAGUAGCCUCAGGUGAGCGAGAGAACUCUCGUUAAGGAACUCGGCAAAAUGACCCCGUAACUUCGGGAGAAGGGGUGCUGACUUAAAGUCAGCCGCAGUGAAUAGGCCCAAGCAACUGUUUAUCAAAAACACAGCUCUCUGCUAAAUCGUAAGAUGAUGUAUAGGGGGUGACGCCUGCCCGGUGCUGGAAGGUUAAGAGGAGUGCUUAGCGUAAGCGAAGGUAUGAAUUGAAGCCCCAGUAAACGGCGGCCGUAACUAUAACGGUCCUAAGGUAGCGAAAUUCCUUGUCGGGUAAGUUCCGACCCGCACGAAAGGCGUAAUGAUUUGGGCACUGUCUCAACGAGAGACUCGGUGAAAUUUUAGUACCUGUGAAGAUGCAGGUUACCCGCGACAGGACGGAAAGACCCCAUGGAGCUUUACUGCAGUUUGAUAUUGAGUGUCUGUACCACAUGUACAGGAUAGGUAGGAGUCUAAGAGAUCGGGACGCCAGUUUCGAAGGAGACGCUGUUGGGAUACUACCCUUGUGUUAUGGCCACUCUAACCCAGAUAGGUGAUCCCUAUCGGAGACAGUGUCUGACGGGCAGUUUGACUGGGGCGGUCGCCUCCUAAAAGGUAACGGAGGCGCCCAAAGGUUCCCUCAGAAUGGUUGGAAAUCAUUCGCAGAGUGUAAAGGUAUAAGGGAGCUUGACUGCGAGAGCUACAACUCGAGCAGGGACGAAAGUCGGGCUUAGUGAUCCGGUGGUUCCGUAUGGAAGGGCCAUCGCUCAACGGAUAAAAGCUACCCUGGGGAUAACAGGCUUAUCUCCCCCAAGAGUUCACAUCGACGGGGAGGUUUGGCACCUCGAUGUCGGCUCGUCGCAUCCUGGGGCUGUAGUCGGUCCCAAGGGUUGGGCUGUUCGCCCAUUAAAGCGGCACGCGAGCUGGGUUCAGAACGUCGUGAGACAGUUCGGUCCCUAUCCGUCGCGGGCGUAGGAAAUUUGAGAGGAUCUGCUCCUAGUACGAGAGGACCAGAGUGGACUUACCGCUGGUGUACCAGUUGUCUUGCCAAAGGCAUCGCUGGGUAGCUAUGUAGGGAAGGGAUAAACGCUGAAAGCAUCUAAGUGUGAAACCCACCUCAAGAUGAGAUUUCCCAUGAUUAUAUAUCAGUAAGAGCCCUGAGAGAUGAUCAGGUAGAUAGGUUAGAAGUGGAAGUGUGGCGACACAUGUAGCGGACUAAUACUAAUAGCUCGAGGACUUAUCCAA